UACGGGGGGGGCAAGCGUUGUUCGGAAUUACUGGGCGUAAAGGGCGUGUAGGCGGCCAACUAAGUCCGACGUGAAAUCCCCAGGCUUAACCUGGGAACUGCGUCGGAUACUGGAUGGCUUGAAUCCGGGAGAGGGAUGCAGAAUUCCAGGUGUAGCGGUGAAAUGCGUAGAUAUCUGGAGGAAUACCGGUGGCGAAGGCGGCAUCCUGGACCGGCAUUGACGCUGAGGAGCGAAAGCCAGGGGAGCAAACGGG
rnacentral:rRNA from 1 species